rnacentral:other from 1 species
UAAGUUCUGCGAUGUUCGAUUUUUGCUCUAGUUAAUUCAACCGACAAAGAACACACGGGAAGCUGUGUAUAUGCAUGGGAUGGCAAGCCCCCAUUGAGGGGAAGUCAGAAGAUGCAAUCAAGUUUUUACCCACCAUGAAUAAUGGGCGGGUGUGAAUUAAUAGAGUUACGGCAUUGUGGACUUAUU